rnacentral:tRNA from 2 species
GUCCGGUUCGUCUAGGGGUUAGGACACCGCCCUUUCACGGCGGCAACACGGGUUCGAAUCCCGUACCGGAUACCA